CAGCAGCCGCGGGAAUACGUAGGUCCCGAGCGUUGUCCGGAUUUAUUGGGCGUAAAGCGAGCGCAGGCGGUUAGAUAAGUCUGAAGUUAAAGGCUGUGGCUUAACCAUAGUACGCUUUGGAAACUGUUUAACUUGAGUGCAAGAGGGGAGAGUGGAAUUCCAUGUGUAGCGGUGAAAUGCGUAGAUAUAUGGAGGAACACCAGUGGCGAAGGCGGCUCUCUGGUCUGUAACUGACGCUGAGGCUCGAAAGCGUGGGGAGCAAACAGGAUUAGAUACCCGCGUAGUCCCUGUCUCUUAUACA
rnacentral:rRNA from 1 species